UGAAGAGUGUUGUACGGAACCGUCCACAUUAUUUUCUUUGACAAUUUGGUUGAAAGAAAACCCAAAUUUCUGAUAUAGAAACUUUUUGAAAAUGGGUCAGACUUCACCCGAAGACACCAGGAGGGUUAAAGCAGCCGACAGAAAAUCAAAUCUCUUCUUUCACUGACGAAGAAUUCAUUUAUAUUUGUUUAUUUCCUCAUUAAUUUGAAUCUAAUUCAGUGACGAAAUUAAUGUGACAUGCAGAAGUUUUAACACCAAAGGGAAUAAACAUCUUCCCUUGUUCAAACCACAAGGUUAUACGGUUGUUUGUUUUAUUCAUUUUUCAGAAGGAAUUAGCAAUAAAGUAUUUACUUAAUACUCACUUUUCACAAACGUUUUCAUGAAUAAUCCGUUCAAGGGGAAUGAUUUAACAUUUCAAACAACAUCAAGAAAACAUCACAGCAGACAACAAGAAACAUCCAAGGUUGUAACUUUAAAAUAAAUAAUUCAGCUGACGUCUGACCGCCUCUCCUCGCCUCAUUAUUCGCCCCCCAAUUUGUACCGACUCAGCUGCUAAUUGGUCCGUUGUGUGACA